rnacentral:pre_miRNA from 1 species
AGGCCCCUCCUCCCAGCCCAGCUCCCGCGCUCACCCCUGCCACGUCAAAGGAGGCAGAAGGGGAGUCGCAGCAGAGAGGGACCG